rnacentral:rRNA from 1 species
AGAUUCCUACGGGAGGCAGCAGUGGGGAAUUUUGGACAAUGGGCGCAAGCCUGAUCCAGCCAUGCCGCGUGAGUGAAGAAGGCCUUCGGGUUGUAAAGCUCUUUCAGCUGGAGCGAAACGGUACGCUCUAACAUAGCGUGCUACUGACGGUACCAGCAGAAGAAGCACCGGCUAACUACGUGCCAGCAGCCGCGGUAAUA